UACAGAGGGUGCGAGCGUUAAUCGGAAUUACUGGGCGUAAAGCGCACGUAGGUGGCUUUGCAAGUCGAUUGUGAAAUCCCUGGGCUUAACCUAGGAACUGCAUUUGUGACUGCAUGGCUAGAGUGUGGUAGAGGGAGAUGGAAUUCCGCAUGUAGCAGUGAAAUGCGUAGAUAUGCGGAGGAACACCAAUGGCGAAGGCAAUCUCCUGGACCUGCACUGACGCUCAUGCACGAAAGCGUGGGGAGCAAACAGG
rnacentral:rRNA from 1 species